UCCGAGUUGACCCCGGCAGUCUCCUACGAGUCCCCGGCAUUACCCGCUGGCAACAUAGGACAAGGGUUGCGCUCGUUGCGGGACUUAACCCAACACCUCACGGCACGAGCUGACGACAACCAUGCAGCACCUGUGUAGGCUCCCUUGCGGGUCCCUCGCCUUUCAGCUCAGUACCACCUACAUGUCAAGCCCUGGUAAGGUUCUUCGCUUAGCAUCGAAUUAAACCACACGCUCCGCUGCUUGUGCGGGCCCCCGUCAAUUCCUUUGAGUUUUAGCCUUGCGGCCGUACUCCCCAGGCGGGGCGCUUAAUGCGUUAGCUACGGCACGGACAACGUGGAUGUCGCCCACACCUAGCGCCCAACGUUUACAGCGUGGACUAC
rnacentral:misc_RNA from 1 species